rnacentral:tRNA from 1 species
GGAGUCAUAGCUCAGUGGUAGAGCAGCGGACUGCAGUUUGCUGUCGUAGCAUCUUUCCGAAGGUCACGAGUUCGACUCUCGUUGACUCCU